rnacentral:lncRNA from 1 species
GAUCCCUGUCUUAACCAUGACUUUCUCCUUGGUGAUCAGAACUGAAGUGUAUUACCUUGCUGGAUUUUUUUUGGUUUGCUUUUUAGGAGGUAAUUCUGUGUGGAGGCUGAGAGGACUGGUCUAGGCAAAGGAGGAUGGUGGCCUUCAUCAGAGGGGCAGCUGUGGAACUGAACACAUCUGACAUGCCUUCAGACACCAGGAUGAACAGUACAUUGACCCAUGCAUUCAGCAGCUAAAAUGUGCCAGGGCUGUGAAUUCCUGCAUUUAUCUACUUUUGUUUUCCUGUGUAGACACAAGGCUGCCUGGCCUCCCAGAGGUGAGAUAACUUAUUAUCUAGCAACUCUUUCCCUGAAACCCAACCUAAGGCUGAGGUGGGCUCUCGUUUCUCUUCUUACUGCCUGACCAUAACCUUGAAUGAUUCACUUCACUGCUCUGCCUCUGUUCCCUCAUCUGCACAGUGAAGUUAAUAUAUUACAUCUCUCACAGAGCUGGUAUCACCAAGGCAAUGGACAUGCGUUUGAACAAACUCUGGGAGAUAGUGAAGGACAAGGGAAGCCUCGUGUGCUGCAGUCCAUGGCGUCACAGAGUUGGACGUGACUUAGCAACCAAACAACAAUUGCACAGAACUGUUGCAAGGAUUUGACGAGAUAAUACUACGUCACCUCCAUAAAGGAGGAGCUGGUCUUGUCUGAAGUCAAUAAAUGGUCUCGGCCAUUCCUCCA